rnacentral:rRNA from 1 species
UUUGAUGGCGACCGGCGCACGGGUGAGUAACACGUAUCCAACCUGCCGAUGACUCGGGGAUAGCCUUUCGAAAGAAAGAUUAAUACCCGAUGGCAUAGUUCUUCCGCAUGGUAGAACUAUUAAAGAGUUUCGGUCAUCGAUGGGGAUGCGUUCCAUUAGGUUGUUGGCGGGGUAACGGCCCACCAAGCCUUCGAUGGAUAGGGGUUCUGAGAGGAAGGUCCCCCACAUUGGAACUGAGACACGGUCCAA